rnacentral:tRNA from 1 species
GAGAAAUUAGUUAAUAUAUAACAUAGAGUUGUCAACUCUAAGUAACUUCACUAAGUAUCUCUCC